GCAGUAGCCACGGUAAUACAGAGGGUGCGAGCGUUAAUCGGAUUUACUGGGCGUAAAGCGUGCGUAGGCGGCUAAUUGAGUCGGAUGUGAAAUCCCCGAGCUUAACUUGGGAAUUGCAUUCGAUACUGGUUAGCUAGAGUGUGGGAGAGGAUGGUAGAAUUCCAGGUGUAGCGGUGAAAUGCGUAGAGAUCUGGAGGAAUACCGAUGGCGAAGGCAGCCAUCUGGCCUAACACUGACGCUGAGGUACGAAAGCAUGGGGAGCAAACAGGAUUAGAUACCCGCGUAGUCCCUGUCUCUUAUAC
rnacentral:rRNA from 1 species